AGAGCGGAGAACACGAAGGUGAUCGUAGAAGCUGAUUAGGAUUCCAGGAGAAGACCGUGGUCAUCGGGCCGCAAGCGAACACAGCAUAAAGCCCAAAUUGCCAAGCCCGUAACAACAGAAUCAGACUUUAAUGAAACGGUGCGGAUCCGACGUGGCAGCGCGAGGGAGCUUCAAUUUCCAGCGUGGCAUCCGAGCUGGCAGUCGCAGGAGAGAUACAAAGCCUUUUAUAUAUAUAAAGAUUUGGGUUUAUAUUUCCUUGAUUAGGGUUUAGCUUAAUCUAUUUAUUUAGGUUUAGGGUAUAUUUGGAUUAGGGUUUAGUGACUGGAAUUUAGGGUUUAGUCUUUAGAAGGUGAGGGGGUAUGGUUGGGGUCAGCAUUAACUUCUUUCAUGCAAUCAUAGACAUUUUAUAGUUUCAUCAAUAUGUAGUAUGUUAUUUAUUUUGUUCCAUUCUAUUUGGGUUUUGUGUUUAUAUUUGGGUUUAGGGUUUAUAUUUGAGUUAUGGUUUAGUGAUUAGAGUUUAGGGUUUAGUAUUUGGAAAUUUAUGUUUGGGUUUUGUGUUUAUAUUUGGGUUUAGGGUUUAUACACUUUUUAUUUUUUAAAAAUUUAUGUUUCUAUCCACUCAUUCUACUGCAUAUAGUAAAUAAAUAUGUUGUAAAUAAAUUUGUGACAUGAGUUCUUUUACG
rnacentral:lncRNA from 1 species